GGUACAUACCAUACAGUAGACCUUGUCUUGACAUUAGUUAUUUAUUCCAGUGUGUGGAGUGUACAGUGGCCAGGACUUAAGACUGGUACUGGAGUAAAAGAACACGUUGCUUCUUCUAAGGUUAUAGAGACUGAGUGUGGAGAGCCAGUGACAAUGAGAGACUUAUAUUUUGAAAAUGGAGUCAUUUGGAAAUGCUGUGGACAACCUAAUGAAGUCUUUAUUUUACAGUCACACAGAUCUAAGCCAUCUGAAGGUAUGGAGAAAAAA